CGAAUGGGUCCAAAGACUCUUAAAACCUACCGUGCUCCCCUACGUGGACAUCAGGAAAGCCCUCCGAGGCAUAAGAAAUCUGAGAAGUUGAAGAACUGCGCCUCGGCGCAUGACUAAGACAAAAAAUUA
rnacentral:misc_RNA from 1 species